AAAGUCUAGCCUGCUCACUGAUAUUAUUUUUAAGAGCCGCGGUAUUUCUGACUGUGCAAAGGUAGCAUAAUCGUUAGUUUUUUAAUUGAAAUCUUGUAUGAAUGGUUUGACAAAAAAAAAGCUGUCUUUAUAAUUAUUAAUUGAAUUUAACUUUUAAGUGAAAAGGCUUAAAUAAAUUAAAAAGACGAUAAGACCCUAUAAAGCUUAAUAUAAACUUAUUAUUUAAUAAAAUUUUUAAAUAUAAAUAUUUAAUAAUAAAUUUUUAUUUUAUUGGGGUGAUAAUGGUAAAAUGAUUAUUAACUGUUAAUUUUAUUGAAACAAAAAUAAAUGGCUAACAAAUAUUUGUUUAUAUAAUUGAUCCUAUUUAAAGAUUAAAAGUUUAAGUUACUUUAGGGAUAACAGCGUAAUUUUUUUUGAGAGUUCUUAUCGAGAAAAAAGUUUGCGACCUCGAUGUUGAAUUAAAAUAUCUGUAUAAUUGUAGCAGUUAUAUUAGAAGGUCUGUUCGACCUUUAAAUUUUU
rnacentral:rRNA from 1 species